rnacentral:rRNA from 1 species
UACGUAGGGGGCAAGCGUUGUCCGGAUUUAUUGGGCGUAAAGAGCGUGUAGGCGGCCAGGUAGGUCAGCUGUGAAAACUCGAGGCUCAACCUCGAGACGUCGGUUGAAACCACCUGGCUAGAGUCCGGAAGAGGAGAGUGGAAUUCCUGGUGUAGCGGUGAAAUGCGCAGAUAUCAGGAGGAACACCGGUGGCGAAGGCGGUUCUCUGGGCCGAAACUGACGCUGAGGAGCGAAAGCGUGGGGAGCAAACAGG